CUCACAACGUCUAUCUUCUUUUAUUUUCACAAGACAUAUAUGUCUUCCUUUGAAUCUGCACCUUUAGCACUCGAGAGUCCUCUUUGAUAUUGGCCUGGUUCACUCAGAUCUUCUCGAACCACACGCUCACAACUCUCUUAGUUAUCUGAUUGAGCCGCGUCAAUAUCUCAGUGCUCUCUCGUCUCUCUUUGUUUCUUGUAGGAUCUACCUAUAGCUAUAUGUGGAGAUUCAUAGAUCCUUUGUUGAUGGUUUACUUGCUUAUAAUUUCCAGAUUCUUAAAAAAAAACAAGUCAAUUUACUAGUCAAAAUGGUAUGUCUCAAUGGAGGUCUAACCCUUUCUUGCUAUCCAAGAUGUCACAAUCACAACAGGUGUAGAAGAAACAAGGGCAAAUUUAGAAGUGGAUAUCAUGGGGUUUUAAUGGGAGAGAAUCUGACGAGCACGAACCCUAACCUGCAAGCGAGCAAGAGCAUGCAUACAAUGUAAUGCUAUUCGAGCUUGUCUCCUCACAAGCACUCCUCUCGCCACCGCCUGAAGCUUCACAAGACUCCUCAACGCUCUAAACGCUCUCCUUCCCUACAACACUUGCAAUGGUGACCUCUUAAAUAAGCUUGGAUUUUAAUGGCGGCAAUGUGUUCUUUAGUGGUUUCUGGGAUAGACGAGCAAAUGGUGGUGAUACUGCUGGGAGAUCGACUGAGAAGUUUCCUCCUUACGACUCCAAACAAUCUUUUGGAGUUGGCCAUAAUUAAUCUCUCUGCUUUGGUUAGGAGGUUUUAAACGGAAACGUGAAGAAGGA